GAAAAAAUUGAGGAACCCGUUUGCCCUUACCCAAUGUCUUCGUUGAUCGCUUUACUCACGGCUGUGGCGAUUCCUCCGGCCAUCCUUAGUGUAACUUAUUUUGCGCUUCCACCGUCAUCACACUUCUAUGGCCGGAAGCUCUAACGCCAUUUACUGUUCCGUUAAUAUUAUUUUAUAUUUAUUUUUUUUGGAAGUUGAUGAGAUGCUUGUUCUUCGUUUGAGCAAGGGAACAAUCGUCUCCCACCUUCUAUUAAUUCCGGCAGAAUGAUGGAAAAUGGUAUGUCUUGGUUUGCUUCUUUGGUUUAUGGACUUGUUUAUUUGGAAGAAGAAUUCAACGAAGUUGGAGGAAGAAUACCCUAAUUCAUCAGCAAAGGGCCUGGUCAUAGUCCACAUUUUGUGUCGGGUCUAAAUAGAGGGCUUCUACACCAGGAAAAUAUUAGAUGCAUUAGAGCAAGUAAUUGGCCAACCCAUACUCAACCAACGAACAAAUGCUGCUCCAUUGAUAUCUGUCCUUGACGUAGUACUUGAGAUAUCCUUGACGUAGUACUUGACCAGGCUCGACCCAAAAUUAAUGAACUUGAGCAAGUACAACUUGAGCAAUGGGAAGUGGUGCUUCUGCUUCUGAUGCAACAGGGAAUGCUGCUGGUGUGAGAAUAGUAGUCGCUGGGGACGCAAAGAUGGGGAAUUGAGCUUGAUAGUCACGGCUGCGGCGGAAAAUUUUCCAAUCAAUGCUUCUCCGAUCCAGUCACCUACAAAGCCAUUGGAAGACAUCUACCUGGACCACAUCCCCCGUCGCCAUUAUUGAUAUCCUUCAGGUCCUCAAUUUCCUAAUGGAUUUAUUUAUGCUUAUAAUCCCAAUUACACGUCACUUGUAUUUGUAUGGCUUUAUACAGGAAAAAGUUAAUGUACUUGGACAACUAAAUGAAUUUGAACUUUUAUUCUUCUUAUUGUGUUGCUAGCUUUCACUUCA